CCUAAGACUCCAUCUCUUCUCUGCCUCUGGCCCUCCUGGCUCUUCCUCCUGCUCCCCUUGACUUUUUCCCCUGACAGAUUCUCAAGUAGGACGAUGUUCAGGGCCUGACCCCAACCCCCCAUACCACCUUAUGAAGGAAAAGAAAGCACCAACUCCCCGGGGAGGGGCUGCAGACAGCAGGGGGAGAGGACUGGAAGGAGAGAAGAGGACCGUCGAGGGAAGAGGCUCACAAGUCCCUGGGAAGACAGGGCAUGGGCUUACAGAGAGGAGAGGGGGUACGGGCAGUGGCUGCUCGUGUCCUCUGCCACCC
rnacentral:lncRNA from 1 species